ACCCUAAAUUUAUUUCAUUCACAUCCGCCCCCAUUCUUCUUCUUCUUCUCUCUCUCACCAGACACGACGAUUUCACUAGAUCCGCCCCCAUCCUUCUUUCUCUGGCGAUUCCGACAUCAGAACUACUGGGUUCAACUUCUUUUAGGGUUUCUUUCUCCGGUGGAAAAAAGAUCCAGAUGAAGAUGGAGCGGUGGAGAUACCGUCGACUUAGAUCUACCUUACCACCGUCGAGCCAGAUCUGAGGUUACACGACUAAGGAAUAUGAGAACCAUAACUUUGCAGAUCUGAGUUCUUAGAUGAAUAUUGACAACCCGGAUCUGGUAUGUUUGUAGCUGAUUAUGUUUUUUACAGAUCUGGUCACCUGCUUUAGUUCUGGUUGGUUUCUCGAGCAUGUCCAUCGCAACUGAGACGAGAUCCCGGCGGUCGAUGGUGGUUGAGUUUUGGUAGUGAUUUGCCACGACAACAGUGACUGCCGGUGCUGGAGGCGAACUGCGGACGUCGGACUGGGAUGGAGGAUGAUGGUGGCGCAGGCGAACUCCAGACUCGAAGGUUACAGGUUGCUUUUUACAUCCAAACACUCCGUUAUGUUAUACGGUUUAAACUUAAUGUUGGUUCGUAAUGACAAAGCAAGAAAAUACUUGACUGACAUGCGUAGAAAGACACCGGUGUCUUUCCCUGAGAAGUUUCUACAAGCUGACCCAUUGGCACUUAAACUAUUGCAACGGCUAUUGGCCUUCGACCCAAAAGACCGACCCACUGCAGAACAAGCUCUAGCUGACCCGUACUUCAAGGGCCUAUUAAAAGUCAAGCGUGAGCCAUCAUGUCAGGCGUUUUCCAAAUAGGAAUUUGAGUUUGAGAGACGAAGAGUCACAAAAGACGAUAUCAGGGAAUUAAUAUAUCGGGAGAUUCUAGAAUACCACCCUCAGUUGCUCAAAGAUUACCUGGCAAGCAAUGAUAACUCUGGUUUUGUUUAUCCUAGUGGCAUUGGCCAAAUUAGGAGGCAGUUUGCAUAUCUUGAGGAAAACGAUGGGAAAAGUGGGCCCAUUAUACCUCCAGAGAGACGCUUGUCUUAAUGUACGCGAGCCUCUGAAGCGUUUUCAGCUUCCCGGCCCACACGUACCAGAGGGAGCAAUGUCGGCUCAUGAAAAUCUCAACUGAACCAAGAGCCCAUCAAAGCACCUGGUGCAACCUGUCGGACAAAUUGAUCGGUGCAGUUUUUGGCAUACCGUAAACCGAUUUCCAUCCUCUACAAUGCAUCUUGAAUCCUGUCAGGAUAUCUUCUGGGAUCGAUCCGUAAAUCCAUCCAAUCUUUCGAAGAAAGGGUCUUUUGGAAUUAAAGUUGGAUAUGGUGGCAUUCCUGGGCUUUCAGGCGGAAGACACAGGUCGGCCUCUCAAGCAACAACACACUUAUAUUUCUGUUGCAUGUUUUUAAGUCCAGCUUAACAAAGUGUUUUUUGUGGGUCAAAUGGGUAGAAGAAAUAAGACCAGCUAAAAGGGAAUCAAGUGUGGUUCAAAGGUUUCCCUAAGGGAAUUUUUUAAUGCACAGUGUUAUUGUAACAUAGAUGAUUUGUAGUCUAUUUAGAUGCCUUCGCAUUGAUUCUUUUUUUU